GUCUUUAUUACUGUAUUCUUCAAAUUUAUAAUGGUCAUUUUCUCUAUUAUUUAUGAUUUUUGCUUAUUGUUUUCCUAUCUUUACUUUUGACCCAUUAUUCUCUAUUCUUUAUAUUUAUUGUCUUGCCUAUCGUAAUUCUUAAUUUAUUGUUUUGCCUAUCGUAAUUCUUGAUUUAUUGUUUUGCCUAUCGUAAUUCUUGAUUUAUUGUUUUUGCCUAUCGUAAUUCUUAAUUCAUUGUCUUGCCUAUCGUAAUUCUCAAUUUUAUCGUUAUUCUUAAUUUAUUGUUUUGCCUAUCGUAAUUCUUAAUUUAUUGUUUUGCCUAUCGUUAUUCUUAAUUUAUUGUUUUGCCUAUCCUAAUUCUCAAUUCAUUGUUUAGCCUAUCGUAAUUCUCAAUUCAUUGUUUUGCCUAUCGUAAUUCUCAAUUCAUUGUUUUGCCUAUCGUAAUUCUCAAUUCAUUGUUUUGUCUAUUGUUCUCUUAUCUUUAUUUUUGGUCUUUAUUCUCUGUAAUAUUGGUCCAAUAUAUUCUUUAUUCUGAGAGCCAUAUUCAGACCCUCAUACAAGAAAC
rnacentral:lncRNA from 1 species